rnacentral:misc_RNA from 1 species
AAGACUAUAGACCUGCGGAGUACCUGCGGAGGGAUCAUUAAAGUAAUAUUUGAUUUUGAACGUUCUUCGGGAGGUUCAAUUAAUCAAUAAUCUGACUUUUGUGGUAAUAUUGAAAAACUGUAUUGGAUUUAAAGAUGAUAUUUACUUCUCGUAAGUGGUAUCGAUCCAAGCUUUUUUUAAUCAACUCUCUUAUCAUGUGACUGAAAUUUAUCAAGUUAAACCUUAUUGGUUUAAAUAAAG